CUAAUAGAUUUGCUAAGAUGAAAACCAAAGGCAGUGCCUCAAAUCGAGGAGGGUGCAGCUAUACUUUCACAAACUCCUGAGAGUCUUAGGGACACAACUGUGAUUGUUUCUCUGUGUGUCUGUGUGUGUGAGAUAGAGAGAGAGUAUGAACUGAGGAAGAAGAGAUUGAAGAUUCCAAAAUGCUGGGGAGGUUUUGGUGGAGAGAAAGUCCCAGAGGCUUGGAAUCCAAAUACAGAUGGAGAGGCAUCGCUGAAUCUGUUCUUUCUCCAGCUGAUGGAAGCACGAGAUGGAUCUACAUCACGAGUAGAUCCAUCUCCAACAAGCAACAUCCUUGGUCUUCCUUUGCUAAAAAGCUUAUAUUAUUUUGCAUAUAAUAUGUCCAUUAAAAGUUUUUUGCUUUCUAUUGGCAUGGUGAAAAUGCAGUCCUGCUAAGGAGAAUCCUAUGUGCCUACUAAGUGGGUUGUGAGGUUGGAGCUGUGUGAGAAGAUCUAUGCCAAAUAAAAUUUAUUAUAAUGACUUUGGUCUGUGUCAUCAGUCUUAGAUAAUUGUACCGCAGCAGACAUGACUUUCUUCCAGAGGCAGACUGCUAGAAUGCAUGACAUAAUAAUGCCGUGAUUAAUCAGACCUAGCCCUCACUAGAGGGUCAAGAGAUACAAAUUCACAGGCAGCUAUAACUACCGGAAAAUGAUACAUCAACACAGCAUUUCAGGCCGGGCAUCAAUCCUAAAAUGUAUCGUUAGAAAUAACACCCAACGAACACAAACACUUGGAUCUUUGGACCCCUAUAAGGAGGGCAGCUAACAGAUCAUAAAUGAG
rnacentral:lncRNA from 1 species